AGUGAACGCUGGCGGUAGGCCUAAUACAUGCAAGUCGAACGGCAGCACAGUAAGAGCUUGCCCUUACGGGUGGCGAGUGGCGGACGGGUGAGGCAUACAUCGGAAUCUACUUUUUCGUGGGGGAUAACGUAGGGAAACUUACGCUAAUACCGCAUACGACCUACGGGUGAAAGCAGGGGAUCUUCGGACCUUGCGCGAUUGAAUGAGCCGAUGUCGGAUUAGCUAGUUGGCGGGGUAAGGGCCCACCAAGGCGACGAUCCGUAGCUGGUCUGAGAGGAUGAUCAGCCACACUGGAACUGAGACACGGUCCAGACUCCUACGGGAGGCAGCAGUGGGGAAUAUUGGACAAUGGGCGCAAGCCUGAUCCAGCCAUACCGCGUGGGUGAAGAAGGCCUUCGGGUUGUAAAGCCCUUUUGUUGGGAAAGAAAAGCAGCAGGUUAAUACCCCGCUGUUCUGACGGUACCCAAAGAAUAAGCACCGGCUAACUUCGUG
rnacentral:rRNA from 1 species